AUUGAACGCUGGCGUCAGGCCUAACACAUGCAAGUCGAACGAGUGGCGGACGGGUGAGUAAUGUCUGGGAAACUGCCUGAUGGAGGUGGAUAACUACUGGAAACGGUAGCUAAUACCGCAUACCAUCGGAUUUGCCCAGGUGGGAUUAGCUUGUUGGUGGGGUAACGGCUCACCAAGGCGACGAUCCCUAGCUGGUCUGAGAGGAUGACCAGCCACACUGAAACUGAGACACGGUCCAGAAUCAUACGGGAGGCAGGAGUGGGGAAUAUGGCACAAUGGGCGCAAGCCUGAUGCAGCCAUGCCGCGUGUGUGAAGAAGGCCUUCGGGUUGUAAAGUACUUUCAGCGGGGAGGCGUUACCCGCAGAAGAAGCACCGGCUAACUCCGUGCCAGCAGCCGCGGUAAUAC
rnacentral:rRNA from 1 species